AGCUUCCUGCUUGACAUAACUCACUUCAAGAAGAGCACAAUGUCAGAACGUGGAAUUAAGUGGGCUUGUGAAUACUGUACGUACGAAAACUGGCCAUCUGCCAUCAAGUGUACAAUGUGUCGUGCCCAGAGACCAAGUGGAACAAUUAUCACAGAAGAUCCAUUUAAAAGCGGUUCAAGUGAUGUUGGUAGAGAUUGGGAUCCUUCCAGCACUGAAGGAGGAAGUAGUCCUUUGAUAUGUCCAGACUCUAGUGCAAGACCAAGGGUUAAGUCUUCGUACAGCAUGGAAAAUGCAAAUAAAUGGUCAUGCCACAUGUGCACAUAUUUGAACUGGCCAAGAGCAAUCAGAUGUACCCAGUGCUUAUCCCAGCGUAGGACCAGGAGUCCCACGGAGUCUCCUCAAUCCUCAGGAUCUGGCUCAAGACCAG
rnacentral:lncRNA from 1 species